GGGAUACCCGCUGAACUUAAGCAUAUCAAUAAGCGGAGGAAAAGAAACCAACAGGGAUUGCCCUAGUAACGGCGAGUGAAGCGGCAACAGCUCAAAUUUGAAAUCUGGCGCAAGCCCGAGUUGUAAUUUGUAGAGGAUGCUUCUGGGCAGCGGCCGGUCUAAGUUCCUUGGAACAGGACGUCACAGAGGGUGAGAAUCCCGUAUGUGAUCGGUUGGCACCCGCUACGUAGCUCCUUCGACGAGUCGAGUUGUUUGGGAAUGCAGCUCUAAAUGGGAGGUAAAUGCCUUCUAAAGCUAAAUACCGGCCAGAGACCGAUAGCGCACAAGUAGAGUGAUCGAAAGAUGAAAAGCACUUUGGAAAGAGAGUUAAAAAGCACGUGAAAUUGUUGAAAGGGAAGCGCAUGCAACCAGACUUGUCCGCGGUGUUCCGCCGGUCUUCUGACCGGUCUACUCGCCGCGGGCAGGCCAGCAUCAUCUGGGAGCGCCGGAUAAAGGUAGCGGGAAUGUGGCCCCUCGGGGUGUUAUAGCUCGCUACACAAUACGGCGCCUCCCGGGUGAGGUCCGCGCUUCGGCUAGGAUGCUGGCGUAAUGGUUGUAUGCGGCCCGUCUUGAAACACGGACCAAGGAGUCUACCAUCUAUGCGAGUGUUCGGGUGUCAAACCCCUACGCGCAAUGAAAGUGAACGGAGGUGGGAACCGCAAGGUGCACCAUCGACCGAUCCUGAUGUCUUCGGAUGGAUUUGAGUAAGAGCAUAGCUGGUGGGACCCGAAAGAUGGUGAACUAUGCCUGAAUAGGGUGAAGCCAGAGGAAACUCUGGUGGAGGCUCGCAGCGGUUCUGACGUGCAAAUCGAUCGUCAAAUUUGGGUAUAGGGGCGAAAGACUAAUCGAACCAUCUAGUAGCUGGUUCCUG
rnacentral:rRNA from 1 species